CAAAAUGUUGUCAUUGGAUAACCAUACCUUACACAAAGCAAUGUUUCCUAGUUAAAGAUAUGAUUAAUCAAUAAUACAAAAACAAGUAUUCCAGCUCUGUGUGAUAGCUAAACGAAGCCACCAUCUUCAUAAUUCUACCUGCCAAGUGGUUUGUGUAUUGUUUCAUUGAUACCUGGUGAAGAAGGUCUAUGUGAUAUUUAUUAUAGUAGAAGAUGUCAUUAAGACGACAACGCUUCGUUUUAUUUCGUGAGUUGAUGAAAAGAGAAAUUUACCGCGGCAAUUUUAUACAAAAUAAACGUACUCGGGAGUAAAAUAUAAAGCAUACACUACUUCCAUAUAAUCUAUUUACUGGAAAUCAGACUGUUUUGUCCGGCAAUUUUUCCUAUGCCAAAUUCAAUUAAAGCUCAAGGAAAUGCAAGAGAAAGGAAUCGGCAAGGAGUCUGUUCUCACUGUUUUAUUUUCAUGUUUAAAUUUUAUUCUUACGAAAACCUAUGAACAAUUGUAAUUGCGUUUUCUUUUGUUAAAUCUAUGAAAGCUAAAAUCCGAAAGCUAAAA